CCUACGGGUGGCAGCAGUGAGGAAUAUUGGUCAAUGGGCGGAAGCCUGAACCAGCCAAGUAGCGUGCAGGAUGACGGCACUACGUGUUGUAAACUGCUUUUAUACGGGAAUAACGCGCCUUACGUGUAGGGCUUUGCAUGUACCUUAUGAAUAAGGACCGGCUAAUUCCGUGCCAUCAGCCGCGGUAAUACGGAAGGUCCGGGCGUUAUCCGGAUUUAUUGGGUUUAAAGGGAGCGUAGGCCGCAUGUCAAGCGUGCUGUGAAAUGUCCGGGCUCAACCCGGGCCUUGCAGCGCGAACUGGCGGGCUGGAGGUGGCGGAAAGCAGGCGGAAUGCGUCGUGUAGCGGUGAAAUGCUUAGAUAUGGCGAAGAACCCCGAUUGCGAAGGCAGCUUGCUGCAGCGGAACUGACGCUGAUGCACGAAAGCGCGGGUAUCGAACAGGAUUAGAUACCCGGGUAGUC
rnacentral:rRNA from 1 species